CUUUCCUCUGUGGUUCCAGGGCUGUCACCCAGCGCCUCAGUCGUGCCAGGGUCCCAGAGGGAGGAAGUACGAGGAAAACCAUCAAGCCGGGCCAGAAGAGCUGCUUUGAAACUGGUGUUCUCCCUGCAGAACACAGAAGAAAAUUCAGUAUGGGAGAAGAUGAUGACAGGAAUGUUCAGGCACCCUGGGGUCUGGGAGGCUGAGGAGCUGGGAGCAUCCGCGCAUGGAGUGCAUGGAGCUUCAGAGGGGAGGGUGGGGCUCAGAUCCCUCGGGCCCCGCACUCCAGGGGGGCACACGGUGGGCUCCAGGGAUGCACACAGCCCUCUUCCGAGGGAGGCUCUCUGGGCAUCCGGAGAGCGGGCUUCGAAGUCUGGCUGUACCGAUGGACCGUCUGUGUGGCUGAGCAGAUCGCCUGUGCCUGUGAGCAGCAGCCUGUUCUGUAGAAAGUGCAGGCUUCGAGCAGCUGGCUUGUGUGGUCUUCAUGGUGACCUGAUGAGGGGACACAUGUGAGGCUGGGCACUGUGCCCAACACCCUGGAGGGCAGCGCUAGGAGCAGUUCUGAAAAAUGCCACUCCCUGAGAAGCCAGGGAGCCGUGUUUCACUCAGUGUUAAGAGAUGAGGCCAUAGGAAGGUGCCAAUCCUCCUGUUUGCUGCUACCUGUUCCAUGUGGCUCUGGGUGUAUGCUCGGUGGCUCCUCUGCCUCUGAUUUCUAGGACUUGAAGAGAAAUGACGGUCCCUGGCUGCUGCAUUUAAUUGGACAGGAGCACAGAGACUGAGACUGUAAUUAUGACGUCUUAAAUGUCAAACUCUUCAAAAGUCUGCUGUGCCCUCGCUGUCACCCUGAACAGCUCUGGGAACCAAAGCCUCGUACCCCCUCCCCUGCCCCUGAGCUCGUCCUGGGUCUCAGCCAGGCUUCACCUGGGAAAUCUGAGUGACAGCGACGCGCAGGCGGCUGGAAGACGCACAGUGAGCCAGGAGCCUGUGAUGAGCUCAGAAGAGGGUCUCACUAUAUGGUUCAGGCUGACCUUGAACUCACUGUGUAGCCCAGGUUGGCCUCAAACUCGUAACAAUCCUCCUGCCUUAGCCUCCCAAGUGCUGGGAUUACAGGCAUCCGCCACCACGGCAGGCUGGGAUCCGGUUUUCUUACCAGUAAAAUGGGGAUAAUAACAGAAGCUGCCUCACCAGGUCCGGGUGAAGAGUAAUAGAUGUAACAUGCAAGGUAGAAAUGUCUGGCACGUGGAGAGCUCGACAACAGGUCUCAGUAGAGGCCCCCUGGAUGUCACACCCGGGCACACAGUGAGGUGCCGUGAUGUGUCCUGAUACAACUGCCUCUGCUCCACCACGGUGAUCGCGCUGGGAGGCGGGAGAGAUCUGCAGCUACUGGGGUGGGGAGAACGAUUUGGAACGUGGUCUUCGUGAUGCUCCCCCAGGUUGACUGACGAAGAGGAGGAUGAAGCGUUGGGAGCCAUCCCGUCGGCAGAGUGCAUCUGGCCGGUCACAUAAGUCAGGAAGACUCGAUUCAGCCGACAAAUAUUCUGUGCACCUCCCUGGAAGUGCACUGUUGUGCAAGAAGUGGUUUGGCAGGGAUUCUCUCCUUUCAGCUGCAGGCCAUGGAGGGCAGGAGGCCUCUGCUUGCCAAGGAGGAGAGGCCAUAGGACGAAGGCUCCGUCUGGCCUGAGCUUCUGCAGAGUGUGCCCGAAUCCGGCUGCAGGGGCAGUUGGGGGGGGGGGGGCGCGAGCACAAACCUCUUCCCUCAGGGCAGGCAAGGUGCUGAGCUCCUGUCACAGUCCUGCCACAGCCACCUCUGGUGCUCAUGGCUGGUUUGGAGCAAUAUGCCAAGAUGUCGUUUUGUCUAUUUGGUUUGCUUUUUCCUUUAAAAUUUAUAAAAUGUGAUGGUAACAUGUAGCCAAGCUUGGUGGCGCAUGACUGUAAUACAAAUGCCCCCCUGCUCUCUCCCUCAUGCCAGGGAUUGCACCCAGGGCCUUGUGCAUGCUGAGCAUGUACUCUGCCCCUGAGCUACAUCCCCAUGUCAUGUUUUGUUUGUUUGAGACAAGGACUCACUAUGUAGUUCAGGCUGGCCUCGAACUCAGAGUGAUCCUCCUGCCUCAGCCUCCCGAGUACUCGGAUUACAAACUUGUGCCACCACGCCUAGCUCCCAUGUCAAAUGUUUACAACUGAAGUUCUAUCUUUAGAAAAUUGAGAAGUGGUCUAGUCUAAGGCAAUGAAAGGCAGAGGUAACCCGGACUGGUAAACUAUUCAGGACACCCACUACAUUUCGCCAUCUCCCAUGAGUUCUCUAACUUGGACUUGGCUCCCUGCCUCCAUGCCUCCCAAGCUCCCCCCAGGCCCCAUCCCUGCAGCCCUGCUUGGACCCGCUGACCCCAUCCCUUCUUCCAGGCCCUGGUGAUGGCCCCAGGCUGAAACCUAGGCCAGCAGAGCCAGCUCAUCCCCAAGGUGAAGCCAAGCAAGUGCUUGAGGCUUUGGCUGCCUGCUUCCUGAGGGAGCUCAGGGUUG
ensembl:lncRNA